rnacentral:rRNA from 1 species
CACGUAGGAGACUAGCGUUAUUCGGAUUUACUGGGCGUAAAGCGCGUGCAGGCGGUUCGGUAAGUUGGAUGUGAAAGCUCCCGGCUUAACUGGGAGAGGUCGUUCAAUACUGUCGAACUUGAGAGUGGUAGAGGGAGGUGGAAUUCCGGGUGUAGUGGUAAAAUGCGUAGAUAUCCGGAAGAACACCAGUGGCGAAAGCGGCCUCCUGGACCAUUUCUGACGCUCAGACGCGAAAGCUAGGGUAGCGAAC